AAAGGAGCUCACAUGAGUCACAACCAUUUGCCAUAAAGCAUUAGGAAUUAGGCCUCUGGGAUUAACGCCAGGUUCCUGGUUUAGAAGUACAAAGACUUGACACUGAAGGCAGCUGUGAACAAUAAACUUAGCCUGUUUCCAGAUGGUAACUGAAGAUCUGCAGGGAGGCCUCCUUGCCCAGAGAGAGUGGUGACAGAAAAGAACUGAGCUAAGAAUACUGGGAAGCAAUAGAAAUUAAAGGAUGCACAGAAGAAAAGAAUCUGGAAAAUUGACUGACUGCCCUGAAAACUGCUAGAUUCAAGAUGGAGUGGGGGUGACAGGUUGCCCCUGCUCGUCUUCAGCCCCAACAUGGGAGCUCCCUGGAGAAGACAGGUGGAGAUUCACUGCUGUCCACCCAGGCGCUUGGCAGACACAGGUUCAGAAGCAUGGACCAGCAUUACACAGGCAUGGAUUCUGGAAAGAUGGACCCCU
rnacentral:lncRNA from 10 species